UACGUAGGGUCCGAGCGUUGUUCGGAAUCACUGGGCGUAAAGGGCGUGUAGGCGGCUUGUUAAGUCUUGCGUGAAAUCUCGGGGCUCAACCCCGAGCGGUCGUGAGAAACUGGCAGGCUAGAGUGCGGGAGAGGAGAGUGGAAUUCCUGGUGUAGCGGUGAAAUGCGCAGAUAUCAGGAAGAACACCCGUGGCGAAGGCGGCUCUCUGGAACGCAACUGACGCUGAGACGCGAAAGCGUGGGGAGCAAACAGG
rnacentral:rRNA from 1 species